rnacentral:lncRNA from 1 species
CAAACAUAGUGUUUGUACCACUUCCAGCUGAAGUACAAAACAUGUAAAUCCCUCAAGGAAUGGAAAAAACAAUGCUCCUAAAGAUGUCAGAAAGACAUCAAUUCAAAAUUCUGCUAUGACGUAAUGAUACCUUCCAGGGAUGCUUUAAAAUCAUGCUUUAAAACCCUGAAGUGUAUCCAGUGACACUCAGCUGGAUGCCAUCAUGCUUGCAAAUGCAUACAAAGGCCCUUGAGUAUUUACUGGGCUAUGGGCUACUCUGAUGCCUCCUCUACACUCAGGGCCAUCCCAUUGGCCUUGCAACAAUUAAGAAUGAGGAAGAUCUGUAUCCAGAAAAGGGAGCCCUGGAGAACAGAAAGGAAGAAUGGUCUAGAAGAGCAUUGUGGAGUGGUUCUCUCAUCUUCUCAGGGAAUGUAAAUGGAAAGGCUAGAGCUACAGAGGCAUCUCGAUCUAUGAGAAAAAGGCCACGAGAAUCAUAGGGGCCUCACUCAGCCUUGUUAUCCCUGAGCUCCUGAAUCAGUGCCAGAAACCACCUGUGGAGUCCUAAUAAGAUAACUCCUUUUAGAAGAAAAUUCAAGAUCUGGCAACACUGUGCCCAAGCUUCUCUAAGGAAGAGAUUGUCAAAGUGUGGUGCCUGGACCAGCAGCAUUAGCAUCACCUGGGACCAGUUAGAAAUGAAGAUGCUCAGGCUCCAUCCCAGACCUGCUGGGGCUGGGGCCCAACAAUCUGUGUUUUAACAGGCUCCCUGUGUGACUGUGAUACGUGAUGCUCCAAGGUAAUUGGCCACUGAAGAAAGUAAAGACUGUUCUACACCUAAGAAGCAAGGACUCAAUUACAGCAUGUGUUACUGCAUUAUAUCAUUUAAAAUAUUCAAAAUUAAUGGAAGGAAUAAACACAGGCUAAAGGAUGAUUUAAAAAAAGAGUUAAAUGCUGGUUUGAAUCCUUACUUUUUAAUACCACUUUUUAAAAAGGUUAUUUUAUUUGCAUGCCAAGUAUCUACAAAAUAAAACAUCUCUUCAUGACCUUUAGAUUUUAUUUUUGAUACCAGAAACAUUUUUCGUGCAGAAGAU